rnacentral:lncRNA from 1 species
CCUCCCCCUGAACCAACUCACUACUUGAUUUUUCAAUCUUCAUGCUUGGUCUUUGUAUUGGUGUCACCCUUAGGUCUUGGCACACCGACCGAUUAAGGUAAAGGGUAGAAGCUAGUUGAUUAGUCUGGCAACAAACUCACUCAAUGCUUGAUGGAUUGGACAAGCCAGAGCACCUAGCCGGCCACACUUCACCGUAGCUAUGGCCAUGCUCAUUGAGGCACCCA